rnacentral:rRNA from 1 species
AGAGUUUGAUCCUGGCUCAGAUUGAACGCUGGCGGCAUGCUUUACACAUGCAAGUCGAACGGCAGCACGGGUGCUUGCACCUGGUGGCGAGUGGCGAACGGGUGAGUAAUGCACCGGAACGUACCCAGUAAUGGGGGAUAACACAUCGAAAGAUGUGCAAAUACCGCAUACGCCCUGAGGGGGAAAGCGGGGGAUCGUAAGACCUCGCGUUAUUGGAGCGGCCGAUGCCGGAUUAGCUAGUUGGUGAGGUAAGAGCUCACCAAGGCGACGAUCCGUAGCUGGUCUGAGAGGACGACCAGCCACACUGGGACUGAGACACGGCCCAGACUCCUACGGGAGGCAGCAGUGGGGAAUUUUGGACAAUGGGCGCAAGCCUGAUCCAGCCAUGCCGCGUGAGUGAAGAAGGCCUUCGGGUUGUAAAGCUCUUUCGCAAGGAAAGAAAACUUAUCUACUAA